rnacentral:lncRNA from 1 species
GAGAUGGAGUUUCACUCUUGUCGCCCGGGCUGGAGUGCAGUGGCACGAUCUCGGCUCACUGCAACCUCCAUCUCCCGGGUUCAAGUGAUUCUCCUGCCUCAGCCUCCCAAGUAGCUGGGAUUACAGAUGCGCACCACCACACCCAGCUAAUUUUUGUAUUUUUAGUAGAAACGAGGUUUUGCCAUGUUGGCCAGGCUAUUCUUGAACUCCUGAGGCCAGGCAGCCUGGGCCACACAGGGAGACUCUCAUGUCUACUCAGGAGGCUGAAGUGGGAGGAUCACCUGAGCCCAGGAGGCUGAGGCUGUAGUGAGCUAUGAUUGCACCACCUCACUGCAGCAUGGGGCAACAGAGCAAGACCUUGCCUUAAAAAAAAAAAAAGGUGUCUCUCAGAAGCAAUAAAUGUAAGGACAAUAAAAUUAAGCAUAUUUGCUUUAGGUUAAAGUUUGCAAAUCAGUAGAGUGAGCUUUCAGACUCUAAUCUUUGGACAGGAUGCUGGGCUCCCUGGCUAUGUGCAGGGCUACCUUGUGUCAGCCCAGCACUUUUCAGCUCACUUUUACUCUUCACAAAACUCCUAUUAGCUCCACUUUAUAGAAAAGGAAAUAGAGGCUCAGUAAAUGAGGGCAGAGCUAAGACCAGAGCAGGUUUUAGAAUUCUCCCCCAAAACACUCCAGCUAGCCCAGGUAACACAUUCAAAUUUGGUGGCUUAGUCACUGACUUCUAUUUUUCUUAAUUUUAAGAGGCUAGGGUAGGUAGAUGGCAAGAUAAGAGAAGUGCCUCUUGCAUAGAUGCCUGUCACAGCAAAGCAACUGCUCUACAAUCCACAGUUAGAAUCUAUAAUUACAAAUUAAUAUUUACUACUGAGCUCCUCUUUUAAAGUAUAAAUGCAAUCUGUGAGGUUAAACUUGAUGGGCAUUUGCACCCUAGUGAAAGUUACUCUCCUCACACUUUGUUAAGGUAUGUAUGGCGUUAUGAAUCUGGAUGAUGACAAGCAGAGCCAGCAACAGUUAGGACCUUGGAAAGGCAGUGAAUUCACAGUAAGGGUACCCAGAGUCUGAUGCUACAGCAGUGGUUUGCAGAGGAUGCAUACUCAGUCAUAGGGACAGUGCAAGUGCCUGGGGCAGCAGCGUGACUGUUCUCCCUGAGGGUCCCCCGCACGAGCCAUGGACACGUCUGCAUAGGUGCAGGAGCAAUGCCUGAAAAGCUGCCUGCGAGAAGGGCAGCAGAACAGCCCUCCCUGAUACCUCCUUGCACUCCUACCAAGUGAGGUGUCCUGCUUUAUACACCAUAACAACCUUCACUUAAAACAGAGCAGGACCACGUUUGUCUGGCAUCUUCCAUGUCAAGCACAGUGUGCACGCUCAUAGAUACUUACGGAAUAAAUGAUUUGAGCUGCAACUGCAGGUGUCUUUCAGAAUGACCACCACCACGCACCCCGUCCCCUGAAUACACACCUGAAAUAAUCUCUAUCAUCUGGCACAGUGUCUGGUAUAAAGUAUGCAUCUAACCAAUUCAGGUUUCCGUUUCUUCCCUCAAUAUCUAUUGAAACCAGGGAAGAAACUGAAUGUAUUUAAGAAAGACUGGUUUAUGACUAAUCCAGAAAGAGAAAUCUUAAGAAAGAAGAAUUCAGAACACAGAGAAAACUCUUGUCGUAGUUGUGGAAAACAUAAAUGCAAUAGGGAGUGAAAAAUCAUUAAAUCUUCUCUUUCAAAGAAAGAAUCAGCUUAAUUAAAUCAACAUUCAAAAAAACUAUCAUUUGCUACAUCAUUAUUUUCUGAAGAUUCCAAGGCGAAGAGAUAGAUAUUCCCACUCCUUAGAGAGUGACUUUUGUGUGUGCGGGUGUGCACCAGGAAGGGGAUGCAGCUCAGUUCACAGUGGCCACACCCUAGGCAGUCGCAGCCACACCCUGGGUUGUGCCAGCCCCAGAGGUAGCAGAUAGCUUCCAGGGACAGGGUGGAAGAACUGAUAGCUGGCACCCAACCAAUCUCUGGCAUGAGCACUCAUUUGAACCGCAGACCACAUUUUGCUGAUUAUAUACCUACUCUGUGUCACCAGAAACCCUUUCAUGAACCCAACAAGAUAAAGUUCUUGAGAGUGGGAACUUUGCCCUUGACUUUCUCUUCUACGUAGUGCUAGAUACACACAGUCCAAACAGUCCUUUCUGAGCUGAACUUUAAUACAGGUGUAGAUGACUUUGCAAUUCACUUGGUUAUAUCGUAGCAUUUGUUAAUCAUUAUGCAGUUUCCUGGGUUAGUCAUAAACCAGCAGUAUAAAUUAAUAUUUAUGAAUUGAAACCUUCUACCACAUGCAGCCAUGCGUUUCAGUGAUGGACUGCAUAUUUAACAAUGGCCCCAUAAGACUGUAAUGGAGCUGAAACAUUCCUAUUGCUUAGUGACAUCAUAGCCACUGUGCCAUUGUAACAUCGUAGUACACUGUAUCAUCCACAU